rnacentral:siRNA from 1 species
AGGCAUAACCUUGGUUGUACUG